rnacentral:rRNA from 1 species
UACGUAGGGGGCAAGCGUUGUCCGGAAUCAUUGGGCGUAAAGAGCGCGUAGGCGGCCCGAUAAGUCCGCUGUGAAAGUCAAGGGCUUAACCCUUGAAUGCCGGUGGAAACUGUCGGGCUAGAGUCCGGAAGAGGCGAGUGGAAUUCCUGGUGUAGCGGUGAAAUGCGCAGAUAUCAGGAGGAACACCAAUUGCGAAGGCAGCUCGCUGGGACGUUACUGACGCUGAGACGCGAAAGCGUGGGGAGCAAACAGG